UACGUAGGGUGCAAGCGUUGCCCGGAUUUAUUGGGCGUAAAGGGCGCGUAGGCGGCUUGGCAAGUGGAUGGUGAAAUCCCUCGGCUUAACCGAGGAACUGCCGUCCAAACUGCUUCGCUUGAGACCGGGAGAGGUUAGUGGAAUUCCCAGUGUAGAGGUGAAAUGCGUAGAUAUCGGGAGGAACACCAGUGGCGGAAGGCGACUUCCUGGCCUGUUCUUGACGCUGAGGCGCGAAAAGCUAGGGGAGCAAACGGGG
rnacentral:rRNA from 1 species